AUCCAUCUGACGAGUCCCAAAUAGGAUUAAACUUUCGUCUUGGAU
rfam:Schistosoma haematobium scaffold1051_2, whole genome shotgun sequence.